CCUACGGGUGGCAGCAGUGGGGAAUUUUGGACAAUGGGGGCAACCCUGAUCCAGCCAUGCCGCGUGCGGGAAGAAGGCCUUCGGGUUGUAAACCGCUUUUGUCAGGGAAGAAAUCUUCCGAGCUAAUACCUUGGGAGGAUGACGGUACCUGAAGAAUAAGCACCGGCUAACUACGUGCCAGCAGCCGCGGUAAUACGUAGGGUGCAACUGUUAAUCGGACGUACGCGGGCUAAAGCGUGCGACGGCGGUUAAAUCCCCGGGCUUAACCUGGGAACUGCACUUGUGACUGUACGGCUGGAGUACGGCAGAGGGGGAUGGAAUUCCGCGUGUAGCAGUGAAAUGCGUAGAUAUGCGGAGGAACACCGAUGGCGAAGGCAGUCCCCUGGGCCUGUACUGACGCUCAUGCACGAAAGCGUGGGGAGCAAACAGGAUUAGAUACCCUAGUAGUC
rnacentral:rRNA from 1 species